CUCACCACCCCCCGCAGGAAAUACAUGAUCAUGCGUCUGAGAUAUCACCAGUUCACCUUUAGCAGCUCGCAGUUUGUAGGCAGAUUUCUGUUAAGAGGCAAUUAACUCUUCCGUUGUUAGGGGUUUAUCAUUUUUCAAUUUCUUGACAUAAUCACUUAGGCAGCACCAAACCAGUUAGAACUUUUCAUUAACUCAAGUUAUCCAAAGUACUUCAGUGUACUUUUUUUCCUUUCUUAAAAUUUCCAGUUCUGUCCUUUCCGUGAACAGACAAGCAUAUUUAGACAAAGGGUAUACAACUCUUACUCAGAAAUUUACUCAACAUUAUUUUUAUAUC
rnacentral:lncRNA from 1 species